AUUUUGGAGGCUGUUCCGGUGAUAAAAGUCUGAAGAAAGUAUGGUGCUCCACACAAACCUUCCAUAACCUCUUAGCGGCCCGAUGGUUUGGCAGUUUGAAUCCAAUAGUGCUCUCAAACUGUUCCAGUUCCGCUGGCCUGACUUUGAUGUAGAAAUUACUUCUCUUAUAGGAAAUCUUCAGAAUUUUUGGCCAAGCAAAGCGGUUGAUUCGGAGUCUGUCUUUGUAAAUGAGCAGUCCAUUAGCACAUACACCCA
rnacentral:lncRNA from 1 species